UACGAAGGGGGCUAGCGUUGUUCGGAAUUACUGGGCGUAAAGCGCACGUAGGCGGAUUUGUAAGUCAGGGGUGAAAUCCCGGGGCUCAACCUCGGAACUGCCUUUGAUACUGCAAAUCUCGAGUCCGAUAGAGGUGGGUGGAAUUCCUAGUGUAGAGGUGAAAUUCGUAGAUAUUAGGAAGAACACCGGUGGCGAAGGCGGCCCACUGGAGCGGUACUGACGCUGAGGUGCGAAAGCGUGGGGAGCAAACAGG
rnacentral:rRNA from 1 species